rnacentral:rRNA from 1 species
ACGAGGUUGAUAGGUUGCAGGUGGAAGCGCAGCAAUGCGUGAAGCCGAACAAUACUAAUUGGCCGUGCGGCUUGACCAA